rnacentral:rRNA from 1 species
GACGAACGCUGGCGGCGUGCUUAACACAUGCAAGUCGAACGGAAAGGCCCUGCUUUUGUGGGGUGCUCGAGUGGCGAACGGGUGAGUAACACGUGAGUAACCUGCCCUUGACUUUGGGAUAACUUCAGGAAACUGGGGCUAAUACCGGAUAGGAGCUCCUGCUGCAUGGUGGGGGUUGGAAAGUUUCGGCGGUUUGGGAUGGACUCGCGGCUUAUCAGCUUGUUGGUGGGGUAGUGGCUUACCAAGGCUUUGACGGGUAGCCGGCCUGAGAGGGGGACCGGCCACAUUGGGACUGAGAUACGGCCCAGACUCCUACGGGAGGCAGCAGUGGGGAAUAUUGCACAAUGGGCGGAAGCCUGAUGCAGCAACGCCGCGUGCGGGAUGACGGCCUUCGGGUUGUAAACCGCUUUCGCCUGUGACGAAGCGUGAGUGACGGUAAUGGGUAAAGAAGCACCGGCUAACUACGUG